AGCGAACGCUGGCGGCAGGCCUAAUACAUGCAAGUCGAACGGAUCCUUCGGGAUUAGUGGCGGACGGGUGAGUAACACGUGGGAACGUGCCCUUUGGUUCGGAACAACUCAGGGAAACUUGAGCUAAUACCGGAUAAGCCCUUCGGGGAAGGAUUAUCGCCAUUGGAGCGGCCCGCGUCUGAUUAGCUAGUUGGUGGGGUAAAGGACCUACCAAGGCGACGAUCAGUAGCUGGUCUGAGAGGANGAUCAGCCACACUGGGACUGAGACACGGCUCAGACUCCUACGGGAGGCAGCAGUAGGGAAUCUUGCGCAAUGGGCGAAAGCCUGACGCAGCCAUGCCGCGUGAAUGAUGAAGGUCUUAGGAUUGUAAAAUUCUUUCAGCGGGACGAUAAUGACGGUACCGCAGAAGAAGCCCCGGCUAACUCGUGCCAGCAGCCGCCGUAA
rnacentral:rRNA from 1 species